GAUGAAGAACGUAGUAAAAUGCGAUAAGUAAUGUGAAUUGCAGAAUUCAGUGAAUCAUCGAAUCUUUGAACGCACAUUGCGCCCGCCAGUAUUCUGGCGGGCAUGCCUGUUCGAGCGUCAUUUCAACCCUCAAGCCCUCGGGUUUGGUGUUGGGGAUCGGCGAGCCUUUCUGGCAAGCCGGCCCCGAAAUCUAGUGGCGGUCUCGCUGCAGCCUCCAUUGCGUAGUAGUAAAACCCUCGCAACUGGAACGCGGCGCGGCCAAGCCGUUAAACCCCCAACUUCUGAAUGUUGACCUCGGAUCAGGUAGGAAUACCCGCUGAACUUAAGCAUAUCAAAAGCGGAGGA
rnacentral:misc_RNA from 1 species